GCUCAGGUGCAUGCAAUGUGCCUGAGUGACCAGAAGGGGUGGAGCCAGGCUCCACCCCUUCCCAGAGCUCUUUUAAGGGUUGGCAGUGGGUGUCAUGGGUAUUUUGCUGGGUACUUUGCAGUGUACCUGAGGCCUUCUGAAGAAGAUGAAAUUUCAAAUGCUACUGUCAAUGCAAAUGUUUCUGCAUCCACACAAAAAACUGAGGAGGAAGCUUUGAACACAACCACCUUAAGAGCAACGACACCGCUAGCAACAGAGCUGACAACCACUACAGCCUCAACUAUGACCAUGUCCAUCACAACAAGGUACAAUACAACUACUUCUGCUAAUGCCACAGAAAGUACAACACAGCAUACAACUGCGCAGCAGCCAGCACAGGUGACCACUACGGCAAGAACUGAAAGUGAGAACACAACAAAUGCUGUGCAAGUGCAUGGAACACAGUCUGCACAAAAUGAGAGUUUGAGUGCUACAACUACUAAGAUGGGGACUUUGACUCCUACAGCCUCUUUACAAGUAAACACUACUGCUUCUGGAACCUCAGUCCUUUCUGUGAGCACCCUGCUAAUACCAACAGAUUCUGGCAGUACUGCAAACAGUUCCGAAAAAACGAAAGCAUUGGAGGAUACUAUCCAUUACUCUAGCGUUAUCCUGCCCGUUGUCAUUGCCUUGAUUGUCAUUACACUCUCCACCUUCUCGCUGGUGGCCUUGUACAGAGUGUGCAACAAGAAAACUCCAGACAGACAAGAGAACGGCACAGAACAGGCCCAGUCAGAUAAAGAAGGUGUAAAACUUCUGUCUGUGAAGACAACUUCUGCUGAGACUGUAUACUGGGACGAAUCUGGAGCUGCUGCAGAAGAUUAUUCCUCUUCAGUUUCUCUUACGCUGAGCACAUCCAAGCAUGGACCAUGACUUUUAAGCAGGAGCCAGGUGCACGCAUCCAGCUGUGUCUCUGUCACUGAAGCUUCCCUUGCAGCCUCCUCUCCCUUGCCAGAUAAGCAGAGCAGGUCAGCAGAGAGCAGCUUGCUGAUAUGCUGCAUGCUUGUGAGAGGAGAGAAUUCAUCUCAGGGGAAGAAUAAAACUCGACAAUGUGAUGAUUCCUCUUCAAACUUCAGCAAUAAAUAUAUGUGAAGCAGCCUGGUUUAAGACAACGUGCAGGAACAUCCCACCAAGGUUGCAAUGCCACAGGAGCUGUGGAGCAGCUGAAGCUUUUUGCCAGGCAGGACACUUGUGCUAAUGACCAGCCCUUGACUUCUAAGCCUCAAGUGCCUCCUGUCCCUUCUGGAACGAUGUGCUUUUUUGAUGGCUUAAUAACUGGUAUAUCAUGUGUAUUUAUUAUGUUCUCAUAUAGUAGAAGCAGGAAAACUCUCAAGAAGGUUGAAGAGCGUGUUUGCAUAGUCAUUAUUACAAGAAUCUUCUGCACAUGCAGGAAGGAAUAUGUUAGCAUACUUUGUUGAACUUACGGUAUUUAGGGUUCUUUUAAUUGUAUGUAGCAAAAUACAAACAUGGCCUGACCCUUGAAACAUUACUGGGCCAACUGCCACAGUGGAAGUUAAUUCAGUGGUUUCCUGGAGACUCCUCACUGAAGCACAUGCUUUACUUGUCAUAAAUGUUUACAGGAUGGGAUGCCUGGGUGAAAUGCUGAAGCGUGUGCUUUAUUUCUGUGAAGGGGGUGAAUAUGCUUUGCACUGAUGUUUGUGUUCUUGUUUUGUUUUUUGAAAUUCUAUGAAUUGCUGAAUAUGGUCCUUGUGAUGUAGCAGACAACACAGUUAAUUUUUUUCCUGUUCCUUGGCUAGCCACUGCAUUGUGCAUGCUGUGAAUGACUCCUCUGAGCUGAGGUGCACAGUGGGGAUCAGCAGGAAAAGCAAUUCUGCAGCUGAACCCUGUAUUUGGAGUAAUACAUGAGAUUCCUGGUGGCUACCAAAUAAUGCUGGAAGUUUAAGGAGUGUUUAAGUGAUGAUGACAGACUCUUAAUUUGUACAGAGCUGAUGCUGCAAAAAUAUCAAGUAGUGCUUCUACCUGCAUGUAUCCUACUCUGCUAGAACUGUAAAUGUUCAAAAAUUGUAUUAAUGUGAGCAUCUGCUCAGCCCCAAUCCGCUGACUCUGGCAGUGUGCUGAGAAGCUCCAUUGUUGUUUUGGGGAAAGGACAGGAGACAGUUGGGGUUGCAAAUGUGGGGCUGAGAGCCAGGCCAGCAAUUUGUGUUGUGAUACCAUUGAUGAAAUGCUUUUGAGGAAACUUCUCCCCCCAAUUUCCCUCUGUGGGUAGAUAAAACUUAAGUAGCAGUAUGGCAAGAUAUUGAAUGGAUUUGUUAGUCCAUAUUUAUGCACAAAGAUAAAGUGUUAAUUUCCCUACUUUUGACUGUUGCUCUUAUUUCAUCAGUGAUGGAUCUAAUCCUCUGUCUUAGCAGCACCAAGAGAAAUUGUGAUGAAGUUUUGUAAAAGUUGAGAAAUGAACAAGGCCUCUCCAUGCUGUAGCUAAACUUCUAUGGUCUGUUCAGGUGCUCCUGGAUCACUUGGGUUGCUGCAAAGCAGAGAAGUUGUGCUUUAGAAAGGUCAGGCCUAAAAUAUACCAGAUAGCAUCUGGACCAACUCAGAUUCCUGAUUGCUGAAGUUUCCAAUGAAAAAAAGAAAGCAAUCAUUGUGCAUAUUGAUGUUGAUUUUAAAAUAUUUCUGUAGCAUGUUGCAUCCUACUGAGAGGACAGUAGAAAAGACCAGAGAAACAUUACAAAAAAUAUGUGUAUGUGUAAAAUUCGUUCAGUACAUCAUCCUCCAUGAUGUGUCAAGGAGAGAAAACAACUUCCUAUUAAAAGUUAUUAUGUUUAUUAAAA